UGUGAAUAAAUAUAAAUAGAACAACAACAUUUUAAUGUCAUUCAAAAAAAACUUUUUAAGGUAUGAGAAAUGUCGGGAUUAAUAUUAUUUGAAAAUUAAUCUAUAUUUAUUAAUAACACAUAAAUCUAAAUUGAUAUUCAUUCUUUUAAGAUAGAUUUUUGUAAAUUUUAGCCGUGGUUUGUUUUUAAUUGCUUAAAGAGUAAAAGUAUUUAAAUACAUAUAUUGUAUAUAGUCUAAAGAAAAAUGGAUAAUAUCUUUCAACAGAAUACUAUCGAUAACAAGUGUAUAAUUAUUUCUUCUAUAACGAGGUGUCAUAUAGGGUCUGUACCACCCUCCAGGAACGGAUGUAGCCUUCUACUUGUCUUCUUUAUAAUAAGGACUCGCGUUCUGUCAGGCGUGCAACUCUGUAAUCUUGUGUCGAUGUGGUGCAGAAAAACGAUUUUCCUCGCCCUCUUUUCAAUUGUUUGGAACGAAAAAUUAGGUAUAUUAUUUCUUACCUGUCUUUGAAUGUUGAAGAUACGAUGAUAAGAACCAUAAGCAAAAUAUGUAUUCAGUUUAGGGACAAGAUUUCUUAAUUUGUUUUUAA
rnacentral:lncRNA from 1 species